AACUUUAGUUAGUAGUUGGUCCCAGUCAGUAACACUCUGGGAGGGCUCAGGCCACAUCACGAAAUGUGACAGGAUAGCCUUGAACUCAUCAAUUGCUGGGUAAGAAAGAAUUUUAAUGCAAUGGCAAACAACCAAUCAAACAAGCAAACAAAAACAAUAAACCCUUCCUUGAGGACCAAGAAGACAUUGAUUAGCUAACCUAAGAGCUCCAGGUGGAGACCUAGGUCCUGAUUGGGUUUCUGAAUUUGACCACUAGGCAGAAAACUAGCACCCAAAACCAGUUGGAAUAAAAUUACCCACCUACAGUGGAGCCAAGGCCCCCAGAUCCUUUUUGUCAGGGGCACCUCAAACUCAACUCCAAAAUUGAUCUAAUGAACUUUCCCAAACCACAUUCCCUUCUUGCAUUUCUGAGAGAAUGGAUUCCCAUUCAUCUGACUACAGUGCUACCCUGAAAGCAGAUCCAGAGACUAAGAUUCACCUGCAGGUGAUUCAUUUGCAAGGUAAGCUGUCAUCAGUUGGAGGUAAGCAGAAGACAGUAGAGAGUACAGAGCCCUGGACUGUGACUCAGAGGAUGAGCACCAGAUCCAGUUUGCUGUGCCACAGUGGUAAGUCACCUAACCUUUAUGUGCUUGGAUUCCUCAUAUGUAAUACAGGAUCAC
rnacentral:lncRNA from 1 species